UACAGAGGCCACAAGCGUUAAUCGGAAUCACUGGGCUUAAAGGGUGCGUAGGCGGUCCCGCAAGUGCUUUGUGAAAUCCCAUCGCUCAACGAUGGAAUGGCUCGGCAUACUGCGGGACUUGAGGUCGGUAGAGGUCGUCGGAACAGUAGGGGGAGCGGUGAAAUGCGUAGGUAUCUACUGGAACGCCAAAGGUGAAGACAGGCGACUGGGCCGAUUCUGACGCUGAGGCACGGAAGCGUGGGGAGGGAACGGG
rnacentral:rRNA from 1 species